rnacentral:rRNA from 1 species
UCGAGAAUUUUUCACAAUGGGCGAAAGCCUGAUGGAGCGACGCCGCGUGGGGGAUGAAUGGCUUCGGCCCGUAAACCCCUGUCAUUUGCGAUCAAACCUGCCUGUCUAAUACAUUGGCAGCUGAUAGUAGCGAAAGAGGAAGGGACGGCUAACUCUGUGCCAGCAGCCGCGGUAAUACAGAGGUCCCAAGCGUUGUUCGGAUUCACUGGGCGUAAAGGGUGCGUAGGUGGCGGUGGAAGUUUGGUGUGAAAUCUCCGGGCUCAACCCGGAAAAGGCAUUAAAUACUCCAUCGCUCGAGGACUGGAGGGGAGACUGGAAUUCUCGGUGUAGCGGUGAAAUGCGUAGAUAUCGAGAGGAACACCAGUGGCGAAGGCGAGUCUCUGGACAGUCCCUGACACUGAGGCACGAAAGCUAGGGGAGCAAACA